CAAGUCGAACGAGUUCUCGUUGAUGAUCGGUGCUUGCACCGAGAUUCAACAUGGAACGAGUGGCGGACGGGUGAGUAACACGUGGGUAACCUGCCCUUAAGUGGGGGAUAACAUUUGGAAACAGAUGCUAAUACCGCAUAGAUCCAAGAACCGCAUGGUUCUUGGCUGAAAGAUGGCGUAAGCUAUCGCUUUUGGAUGGACCCGCGGCGUAUUAGCUAGUUGGUGAGGUAAUGGCUCACCAAGGCGAUGAUACGUAGCCGAACUGAGAGGUUGAUCGGCCACAUUGGGACUGAGACACGGCCCAAACUCCUACGGGAGGCAGCAGUAGGGAAUCUUCCACAAUGGACGCAAGUCUGAUGGAGCAACGCCGCGUGAGUGAAGAAGGCUUUCGGGUCGUAAAACUCUGUUGUUGGAGAAGAAUGGUCGGCAGAGUAACUGUUGCCGGCGUGACGGUAUCCAACCAGAAAGCCACGGCUAACUACGUGCCAGCAGCCGCGGUAAUACGUAGGAGGCAAGCGUUAUCCGGAUUUAUUGGGCGUAAAGCGAGCGCAGGCGGUUUUUUAAGUCUGAUGUGAAAGCCCUCGGCUUAACCGAGGAAGCGCAUCGGAAACUGGGAAACUUGAGUGCAGAAGAGGACAGUGGAACUCCAUGUGUAGCGGUGAAAUGCGUAGAUAUAUGGAAGAACACCAGUGGCGAAGGCGGCUGUCUGGUCUGUAAC
rnacentral:rRNA from 1 species